ensembl:misc_RNA Y_RNA Y RNA
GGCUGGGCCGAAUGUAGUAAAUUAUCUCACUUGGUGGUUCAGUCAAUUUCAGAUCCAACUCCUUGUUCUACUCCUUCCCCUUUCUUACUACUGCACUUGACUAGUCUUUU